UAAAGGUGUUUUAGUCUCUUGAUGUGGGGAU
rnacentral:piRNA from 1 species